AACUGCAAAACCACCCCCUCCCUUUCAGUCCAUGGUUCGGCGCCGGUCAUAGGGUUUCGGCCAGUGGCCGCCGUAGCCGCUCCGCGAGUGGUGGUCGGAACCACCAAAACCAUGGGUUUUAAACCCGCUUCUGAGUUCAUUCGAAGGCCCGGCCCCCGUGUCCCAAAAGACCGAAGGAGAAGGAUCUUCUCUGCUUCCUCUCGGUCUGACUCCGACGACGGUUGGGAAACCUUCGGCGAUGGACUCACGGAGUAAGCAGGUGCGGCCCUUAUUUUUAUUUCUUCAUUUAUUAUGUAAAAAAUGAAAAAAAAUAAUAAUGCGCAAAAACCGUGUCUGAAAAUGAAUAAUAAUGACCUUUUAGAUUUUAUUUCUGUUUUUUCUAUCUCCAAAGAAAAAAAUCCCCCUAAAUACAUUGAUGUCUGUGGCUUUUAUAGCCGAAAGAAAAUAAAAGAAAAUCCCCCCUUUUUGCUACUGUUUUGUGGUCUAUUUCUAUUUUCUUCCUUUGCUACUUAUUUGCAGGUGAUUGACGCGGUGGCAGAGUCAGAGGGCAGGUGAGCGAUGGCAAGUGGGAGACGUGACGAGCGGCGCAACGGUGGCAGGAGGUCAGGGGUCAGAAGACCCUAGGUGCGAUUAGGGUUUUUUGUUGAAAUGUUUUAAGUUUUUGGGCUUGUUGGGCUAGGUUUUAAUUUGGGUCUGUUUGGGUUUGAUUUGGGCCAUGUUUGGUUUGUUUAUUUUGUAAAUGGGCCCGGGCAAAAUUGGGCUUCUACAGUUAGUUCACACAUGAAGCCAGCCAACCACUUUUUCCUAAUAUAAAGGUCGAGUUGUC
rnacentral:lncRNA from 1 species